rnacentral:lncRNA from 1 species
CAAUACACUAUUAGAAUAUCACAUACCACAUUCUAAUUCUCUCCUUUUCUACUUUUACAUAUAUUCUCUACUUUAUAUAUUAUUAUUUUGGGCAAUGGUUAUGUGACUUGGAUACCUAUAUCUGUCUAUGAACGUGCUCAUAACGGAUCUUGAGUUUGUGUACAAGGGAUCGUAUCUUGGAGUCUUGUAGACAGUCAGUAUUUGCACGUAAAGAGGCUACUAUAUGUUAUUUAUAAUUUAAAUGUUUUGUAUUUGGCUUUACGGAAAGAGGAAAACUAUUAUUUUUUACAACAAAAUGUACUUAGCAUUUGAGAGUCAAUCGAGAGUUGGUUGGAGGCGAUUUCGAUGAGAACAAGAUUGUGGGGGAGCGAUUUCUGACCACCAUUAAGAACAAGGUAUGCAAGCAAUUCCUUUCAUUAUUUUACAAUUAGACUUGUGUUUUUGUUGAAUUUCAUUAAAUAUAUGAUGAACCUUGCAUGAACAAUGAGAAUUGUUAGAAAAUAGAAACCUAGGCAUGCAUGAGUGCAUGACAUACUAGCGAUGACAAGGUAUGCGCCUGAGCAAUUCAACCCUAACUUUUGGAUCGUUUUGCAUGAUAUGUAUGUGGGAUUCAAACUUGUGGAAAAAAGGAGAGGCUUUAUACAGUCAGUAGCGGUAGGUGGAUGAAGAGGAAGAAGGAGAGAGAGAGAGAGAGAGAGAGAGAGAGAGAGACUGCAAAGGAGCAUGAUGGGGCUGGGGUGGGGGUCACACCACCGUUGAAGGACCAGUAGCGGUAGGUGAAUGAAGAGACCCUUGUCGAGCCGAAGAGACGUGCUCUAGAGAUCAUGCAGAAGGUGAAGUAGCAAAUGCUCAACCAUAAAAGUAUGUUGCCGCAACUAGAGAUGACAACCCUGCCAGAGCCAUUCAUGAUGUCAAUUGAGCUAAAGAGGUGGUUCCCCAAUGAUAGUGAGGAAAUUGACUUCUAUCAAAUGCAUAAGGAAAAGAACGAGGCCAAACUAGCCAUGCAUCCUUAGGAGGUGUCAUUGGAGAAUGCGUUCAUGAAGGGCGUCAAAAUGGAUCUUGAAGGCUUGGCGAGGGGUGAACCUCAUUGCUUCUAGGAACACAUGGGGAAGACGUUUCUG